GAGUUUGAUCAUGGCUCAGAACGAACGCUGGCGGCAGGCCUAACACAUGCAAGUCGAACGCCCACUUCGGUGGGAGUGGCGCACGGGUGAGUAACACGUGGGAACCUACCCUUCGGUACGGAACAACCCAGGGAAACUUGGGCUGAUACCGUAUACGACCUUCGGGUGAAAGAUUGAUCGCCGAGGGAGGGGCCGGCCGUCCGAUUAGGUAGUUGGUGGGUAACGGCCUACCAAGCCGACGAUCGGUACCUGGUCUGAGAGGAUGAUCAGACACACUGGGACGUGAGACACGGCCCAGACUCCUACGGGAGGCGAGCAGUGGGGAAUAUUGGACAAUGGGCGGAAGCCUGAUCCAGCCAUGCCGCGUGAGUGAUGAAGGCCUUCGGUUG
rnacentral:rRNA from 1 species